rnacentral:rRNA from 1 species
AACGAACGCUGGCGGCAUGCCUAACACAUGCAAGUCGAACGAGACCUUCGGGUCUAGUGGCGCACGGGUGCGUAACGCGUGGGGACCUGCCCUUAGGUUCGGAAUAACUCCCCGAAAGGGGUGCUAAUACCGGAUAAUGUCUUCGGACCAAAGAUUUAUCGCCUUUGGAUGGGCCCGCGUUGGAUUAGCUAGUUGGUAGGGUAAAAGCCUACCAAGGCGACGAUCCAUAGCUGGUCUGAGAGGAUGAUCAGCCACACUGGGACUGAGACACGGCCCAGACUCCUACGGGAGGCAGCAGUGGGGAAUAUUGGACAAUGGGCGAAAGCCUGAUCCAGCAAUGCCGCGUGAGUGAUGAAGGCCUUAGGGUUGUAAAGCUCUUUUACCCGGGAUGAUAAUGACAGUAUCGGGAGAAUAAGCUCCGGCUAACUCCGUG